UGGUAUGUUGGACAACUUUGAUAUUUUUGUGUUGUGGAUUGUUUGAUCAAGAAGGCUUAGUUUACCUGUUUUUUGUUGUAGUAUAACAAACCCAUAUACUAACUUCUUUAACUUUUUCCGAGGUCAUUCUCAUUGACCCACAAUCAGGCUUGCCUGAUUAUUCUUGAAUUUUUGUGUAUGUGAUGAGGCAUGUGCAUGUGUUACAGGUACAACAUGGUGAAACAAGGUCUUGUUAAGGAGCCAGUAUUUUCAUUCUGGCUCAACCGCAAGACAGAUGAUGAUGAAGGGGGUGAACUUGUGUUUGGUGGAGUUGACCCCGAUCACUUCAAGGGUGAGCACACAUAUGUUCCAGUGACGCAGAAAGG
rnacentral:lncRNA from 1 species